rnacentral:rRNA from 1 species
CUCCAACGAGCGCAACCCUGACCCAGCAACGCCGCGUGAAGGAUGAAGUCCUUCGGGAUGUAAACUUCGAAAGAAUGGAAAGAAUCAAUGACGGUACCAUUUAUAAGCCCCGGCUAACUCCGUGCCAGCAGCCGCGGUAAUACGGAGGGGGCAAGCGUUGUUCGGAUUUACUGGGCGUAAAGCGCAUGUAGGCGGUUUAAUAAGUUACUUGUGAAAUCUCUGAGCUUAACUCAGAACGGCCAAGUAAUACUGUUGAACUAGAGUGCAGAAGGGGCAACUGGAAUUCUUGGUGUAGCGGUGAAAUGCGUAGAUAUCAAGAGGAACACCUGAGGCGAAGGCGGGUUGCUGGGCUGACACUGACGCUGAGAUGCGAAAGCUAGGGGAGCAAACAGGAUUAGAA